AACCGCCGUGUACCGAACGGUACGCACGGUGGUGUGGGAGGUCGGUUACUCAAAUAAUGAGUAACUUCCUACCCGAU
rnacentral:ncRNA from 1 species